AACGAACGCUGGCGGCAUGCCUAACACAUGCAAGUCGAACGAAGUCUUCGGACUUAGUGGCGCACGGGUGCGUAACGCGUGGGAACGUACCCUUUGGUUCGGAAUAGCCCUGGGAAACUGGGAGUAAUACCGGAUACGGUCGAGAGACGAAAGAUUUAUCGCCGAAGGAUCGGCCCGCGUUGGAUUAGGUAGUUGGUGGGGUAAUGGCCUACCAAGCCGACGAUCCAUAGCUGGUUUGAGAGGAUGAUCAGCCACACUGGGACUGAGACACGGCCCAGACUCCUACGGGAGGCAGCAGUGGGGAAUCUUAGACAAUGGGCGCAAGCCUGAUCUAGCCAUGCCGCGUGAGCGAUGAAGGCCUUAGGGUUGUAAAGCUCUUUCGGGGGGGAAGAUAAUGACUGUACCCCCAGAAGAAGCCCCGGCUAACUCCGUGCCAGCAGCCGCAGUAA
rnacentral:rRNA from 1 species